UGCCUCCCUCCCAGUAAAGAACAUCGAUCCCUCCUCUUCUCAUCGACAUCCUAUCCACCGCCUCCCCUCCCCGCCUGACCUUGACACGGACGGAGCCCCUGCGGCUGGCACGUCGGCAGCCCCCUCCGCCUCUGCUUCCGCUUCCAUCUCCGCCUCCUUCCUCCCUCUCUCUGCCUCUCCCCACGCGACGGCGCAACCAACUGGAUAGGACGAGGCACCAACCGGCGAACGGCUUCGGUGAGACGGUGGCGGUGCGCGGGCGCUGGCGAGCCCCGUAGGUGGCCGCCGCUGUGGAUGCCACCCAACGCGGCUUCCUCCUUAUAGUCCAUGUGUGCUCAUGGGCUCGACGAAACAACAAAACCCUAGGUGCCUGUGUUCGGCGGCGGCCAGAUCUGGAGAGCACCUGAGUGUGAGGCACUGACCAACAGGGAGGCAGUAGUAAAUGAGCAAGCUACAAUAGCAAGCACGAAGUACUUGAAAUUUUAAAUAUGCAGCAACUUUUUGUUGAUCUAGUUGCUGAUUUGGUGCUUCGUGUUAACCAGCAAGGAGUCGGGCAGAUAGAAUCUUCUUUUCUUCUGUUGCUUGUCUUGGUUUUCUAACACCUUUGACAGGUAGACAGUUUAAGAAUCCUACUUGCUUCUUGUCGAUCGUAAGUGUCAUCUACCACUUCUCCCUUCCGAAGGCGUCGGCUGCUAGAUCCUAUAGCCAAGCGAGAUUCAAGGAUGAACCAUCGUAUCCAUGGUGGGCAUAUAGAACCAUGACCUGUCAGCUGCUCCUGCUGUUUGGAGGUGCAUGAGUCAUUCGUGCGUUGCUCCAUUGUGGGCUCUUCUUCUAGGAUUGGACCAUGGAGAAGAUAUGUUGAAAGACACAUAUAUAGGUAUCUAUUGGCUAAGUCAAUAUUUCUAACGUGGGUGCACAUGGAGAUUUGAGGCUUAAUGGAGAAUUGGUCCACUCAAAGUUGAUAGAGCAUGGAGAAAUUCAGAAACCUAAGAGCAUGGAGAAAUUCAGAAACCUAAGGUACUCACUCAUGCUCAUGACUCCAAGAAUACCUAGCUGUCAGCACUGAGGUAACUUUGUGACUAAGGUCACUCGUUGAACUAUAGUUUGGUGUUUGUGAUGAAUGUAGUAAAUAAGUUGUUGAAUGACUUGUGAACCUGUUGAUUUGGUUAUGAAUGGAAUAUAUUGUUGGACCUACCUAUGUUAA